rnacentral:rRNA from 1 species
ACGUGAAACCGUUCAGGGGUAAACCUGAGAAACCCAAAAGAUCGAAUGGGGAGAUUCAUCGUCGACGGUGCCGGCUUCCGUUGGUUCGCGAUGCUCCGAAUGGACUUUGGUAGCUCCAUGGCGAGGGCACGCGACCUUCGGCUCGAACGCUCCGGUGCCGUAAUCGUGCACUUCUCCCCUAGUAGAACGUCGCGACCCGUUGUGUGUCGGCCUACGGCCCGAGCGGGUGCCUGUCGCGUCGCGUUUCGCGCACGCGGCAGACCCUCGGACGCCCGGCCGGCUGCACGACGGUACUCCCACGGUAUCGGGCCGCAACCAAUCCGAUUCUCGAAUCGUAUGUGCGUCUAGCCCGCCGCAAGCUCGAUCAGUUCUUACCCGGUGGUCGGACCCAGUGCCGUCCCCGGGCCUGAUCAGCUGUUAGCAGGCGGUGUCCUCGGACUGGCCAAGCUUCGAAUUACCGGUCGGCGACGCUACUGCUUUGGGUACUCUCAGGACCCGUCUUGAAACACGGACCAAGGAGUCUAACAUGUGCGCGAGUCAUUGGGAUGCAUAAACCUAAAGGCGAAAUGAAAGUGAAGGUCGUCCUUUGCGUCGACCGAGGGAGGAUGGGCCGCGUUACUAGGCGGCCCCGCACUCCCGGGGCGUCUCGUUCUCAUUGCGAGAAGAGGCGCACCCAGAGCGUACACGUUGGG